rnacentral:rRNA from 1 species
UACGUAGGGUGCAAGCGUUAAUCGGAAUUACUGGGCGUAAAGCGUGCGCAGGCGGCUUUGCAAGACAGAUGUGAAAUCCCCAGGCUUAACCUGGGAACUGCAUUUGUGACUGCAAGGCUAGAGUACGGCAGAGGGGGAUGGAAUUCCGCGUGUAGCAGUGAAAUGCGUAGAUAUGCGGAGGAACACCGAUGGCGAAGGCAAUCCCCUGGGCCUGUACUGACGCUCAUGCACGAAAGCGUGGGGAGCAAACAGG